rnacentral:rRNA from 1 species
GUCUAAGGCCAUACCACCCUGAACACACCCGAUCUCAUCUGAUCUCGGAAGCUAAGCAGGGUCGGGCCUGGUUAGUACUUGGAUGGGAGAAUGAACAUAUGGAACAAUGGAAC